UACAGAGGUGGCAAGCGUUGUUCGGAAUUACUGGGCGUAAAGCGUGCGCAGGCGGUUUUGUAAGUCUGUCGUGAAAUCCCCGGGCUCAACCUGGGAAUUGCGAUGGAGACUGCAAGGCUAGAAUCUGGCAGAGGGGGGUAGAAUUCCACGUGUAGCAGUGAAAUGCGUAGAGAUGUGGAGGAACACCGAUGGCGAAGGCAGCCCCCUGGGUCAAGAUUGACGCUCAUGCACGAAAGCGUGGGGAGCAAACAGG
rnacentral:rRNA from 1 species